CCCUUAGAUGUUCUGGGCCGCACACGCGCUACACUGAAGGAGGCAGCGUGUACUCCUGGAUCGAAAGAUUUGGGUAACCCGCGAAUCUCCUUCGUGCUAGGGAUUGAGGUUUGCAAUUAUCCUUCAUGAACGAUGAAUUCCCAGUAAGUGCAAGUCAUAAGCUUGCGCUGACUACGUCCCUGCCCUUUGUACACACCGCCCGUCGCUACUACCGAUUGAAUGAUUUAGUGAGGACUUCGGACUGGGACCGAUGCGGCUUUCGGGCUGCGUCGGUAUUCUGGAAAGAUGUCCAAACUGUAUCAUUUAGAGGAAGUAAAAGUCGUAACA
rnacentral:rRNA from 1 species